AGCGGGGCGGGGCGGGGCGGGAGGGGCGCGGGGCACGCCGGGACGGGGUUAUGCGCCUGCGCAGACUGAGCCGCGAGAGCAGGGCGGGGAAGCGGAGUGGGACGCAGGCUUCACCCAGUUCCUUUCACGGCACCGGUAACUUGUUGCGCAGGUGUAGACACUGAGCGCCUUGGGGCCGGCCUGUCCCGGCGCCACCUCGGUGCCCGGAGCCCAGCAGGUAGCCAGGAUUUGUAAAUCUUUGCCUCAGGAUUUUUUCUAAGACGGGAAGUCCUUUUGUUCAAACCUAACCUAUGGGUGGAAAAUUCAAAUGACUGCAGGAGGCGGGCAGGAACUUCAGUGAAGUGACCCAGGUGUGGCAUCGCUGGAUAUGCAUUCCUCACAUAAAAAGAAAGUAAGCACGACUACUGUCACAGGGCUGCUUCUGAGAUGCAGCCCCAUCUUGCCAUCCAGGACCCGUUCUUAAUCUCUUCUGGAGUUUUGACCAGAAGCUGAAACUGGCAGCCCUUGGACUCAAUUCAGCAGGUAGAUCAGAGCUGUUUAGCCCAUAUGCACCCUGCACGAUACUGAUGGUGAAAAUAUUGAAAUGCUUCAUGGUAAAUAGUAUCAUAGUAACUGUACAGUCACAAUUAGCUAAUGUAAAUUUUCAUAUAAACUCGGGUUUGUACUGACAGUCUCAGGACAUUGGUACCAUAGAAAAAGGGCCUUCUGUUGUAGCCACAUCUGAGGAACAUCUUGUGUCACUGAAGCGACGGUGGCUAAGUUGCAUGUGUUAAAACAAAUUGCUUUAGGAGAAUCACUAAAAAUAACUUUGUUAGCAUAGUGUAAUUCUUUUGAAUUACAGUAGCAGGCGUGCAGUGUAUUUAUACUUAUACACUUAAGAUUUUAUUAUAAAUAUUAAGAACAAAUACUAAAGUGAAGAGGCAACAAAACCUGGAUAAAUUUUUAAUAGUUUCAUAUAUAAUAAGUGUGAGUCUUGUUAAUCUGCAAAACAAAGAAGGAAUUACAGUAGUGAGUCCCAGCCUGGAACUUGUUUUGAUACUGUGCAAGAAUCUGCACAAAAUAAAACUUGUAUUAAAUACAUUUUAUUACAUAAAAUCUGUAUUUCUGGAGUGAAAAAUGACGAUUUUUUUCAACCAGGAAUUUGUGUUAGUGCUAAUGACAAAUUUUUGGCUAUAAAUAGUGCUCAAAAGUUAUGUGUUAAAAGAUCAAAGUGCUGGGCUUCCCUGGUGGCGCAGUGGUUGAGAGUCCGCCUGCCGAUGCAGGGGACGCGGGUUCGUGCCCCGGUCCGGGAGGAUCCCACAUGCCGCGGAGCGGCUGGGCCCGUGAGCCAUGGCCGCUGAGCCUGCGCAUCCGGAGCCUGUGCUCUGCAACGGGAGAGGCCACAACAGUGAGAGGCCUGCGUACCGCAAAAAAAAAAAAAAAAAAAAAAGAACGAAGUGCUAAACAUGUAUAUUUCAUGAGGAUGCUGUUAAAACGUAUGGUUCAAGUGAAAAAAAAAUUUGUGGUCAUUAAUGAGGAAGAAAUUUAAAAUAUAAUCAGUUUCAUAUAUUAAACAUUUGGAAACUUAAAACUCCCAAAAUGUCAUCAUAGUGAGGAUAAAGCAGUCAAAAAGAUACAGAGGAACUGUCGAAAUUUUUAGCACUGUAUAAUUGAGCAUUUCCAUGAAAAUAUUUAAUAGAACUUCUAAAGGAAUUGUAUUGAUAUGGGGGUGGGUACUAUGGACUAACUUGUUACAAAACAGAUGUAUCUAAUGAGAAAACUUUUUGGAAAACAAAGCAGUGCAUUUUAAAUCAUCUUCAAGGAAGUUUCAUUUGCUUCACAUAAAAGUGUUUUAAUAGUUUGCUUAAAAUACAAAUUUCAGUAUUUUGAAGAUAAUGGUUUUUGUUGAUCUUAUGACACUGGGAGCUGCAUUUAAUACAGUGUAUUGAGCUUUGUUGGUGGGAAAUAUAUAUAUAUACAAUGGAAAGAUACUUUUGUAAAAAUAUCAUUGCAAUAUUUUACAACUUUGAAAAGGUCAUCGGAUUUUGUACAAAAAGUGCCAGUGUAAUAAUGGUAGGAAGAGUCUGGAGUUUCAGCCAAAAGUUUAGAAAAAAAUUUGGAUAUUUUAAUUUGUCACUAAGUGAUCAAAUUUAAUUUUGGAUAAAGCAAUACAAGAUUUAAGUUAAGUAAUUCUCAUGUUUUUCUCAAUAAAUUGUAUUUCUUACCAUGCAUCAAAUAAAUAUCAGGAAGAACUGCAAAUUAAGUACUGGAAAUUGCACCUUGAUGGACAGCUUGAAGUGCGAGAGCAGCAGAAGCAGUUUGGAAAUCAGGAAGUUCUGUGUGUUCACUGUGAUAGAAGCUGAAGUGCAGAGUUAGCCAUCGAAGAAUAUAACUUUAAGAGUGUUUGUUGGCUUUAAUAAAAGAUGUUUUAAUGGAAA